UUGACUUCUAACACCAAAGAUCAGUGUUUCCUUUUCUUGCAUUUUAUGGAAGAUGGAAACGGCAUCAUAUAUUUUAUGUUCUUUCAUGUCUGGCUGCCUUUGCCCACCAUUGACUGUGAGAUUCAUCCCUGUUGUGUGGUAGGCAGAAUUCUAAGAUGGCCCCCAAGAUUCCUCAUCCUCUCUUGUACUCGCAGCCUCUCCCAGUUAUUCAACUGAACAUUAAUCUAGGUGCUGCUGUAAAGGCAUUUUGCAGAUGUAAUUAAGACCCAAAUCAGUUGGCUUUAAGGUAUGGAGAUUGUUCUCAGUGGGCCUGAUCAAGCCCUGAAAAAGGAUGGGGCUUUUUCUGGUGAAAGGGAAAUGAAGUAUGAGAGGAAUUGACACAAGGGAAAUUCUUCAUUGUUGGGUUUGAAGAUCGAGGGGUCCACAUGGAUACAGACGGCCUCUAGGAGCUGACAUUGGCUCCUGGUGACAGGCAGCAAGGAAAUAGGGACCUCAGUCCUCCAGUCACAAAAAAAGGGCCCGAAUGCUGCCAACAGCCCAAAUGAACUUGGAAGAGGAUCCUGAGCUUCAGCACCUUAACUUCAGCCUGUGAGGCCCUCAGCAGAAAACGCAGCUACACCGGGCCCAGAUUUCAGACUAGCACAGCUGUGAGCUGGUUGGUGGAGAACAGUCUGAGGGAGAAAUGCCUGCACAGACACGGAUGUGACAGCUUACCUUCCUGCUCCCUGCCAACACCAGACCCCUCCCCGCUGCUGCAGCGCCCCACACCCCAUCGGCAGGCAGCCCCACCAUGGAUCUCUCAUUACUGUACCAACUUGAGAAGGCAUUCUCUGCCCCUUCCAGGGGAGCAGGCAAGGAGUAGAGGCACAGGCUCACUGCUUCAUGAAAGCUGUCACGGUAGUCAGCGCUUCACCAUCCAGCUCGUUUGCUAUUCAUGGAAAUCGGGCUCCCUCCGGUUCCUGGUACAAAAGCACUCUCUUCUCCCUCCCUUUUAAAGCCCUGCUCUUGGGAAAGGCUCUGAUAGCUUUCCUUCAGUGCUCCUGAUGGAAGGAAAUUUAAUGUGAAGUAUCAUCUGUGCCUGUAACAAAGGCCAGUCCCAGGAGAGCUGCACAGGGAGUACUGGAAAGAAACCUUCAGGUGAGCAGCACCUUGACCACAUCCUCCUGUGUCUUCAAUGCAGUCUAAUGGAGAGUGGUUUUCUGGAGGAACAUGGAUCUGAUGUUAUAAUCGGAAUUCGUGGAAACAGGAUUCUUUAAAGGAAACUUCUUGUAAUGUUUUCUUGUCAAUACUUUCAUAUGAAAAACAACAGGAUUGAUGUAUUCUGCCUGAAGACCCUGAAAGCAGAGCCUCAUCCACAAGCAUAGUCACCAGUAGGAUGGCCUGGCCUUGCUAUGUGGACACUGUUGCUGUGACCAAGUAGUGCUGAGAAAAAAGAAAUGAGAGAGUAGGGACCGGUGCCCCUUCAACAUCCCAGAAAUGCCAUUUCAGAACCAUGUAUAGCAUCACCCACGGCUCUGUCUCCUGUCCAUCCCACCAACCCCCAACACAUGUUACUGGUUUACUGGUGCUACACCCAUGACUACAGUCACCAAGCUCAUAGGAAAAGAGAGAAGCCAGGCAACAGGUCGGCCAACUUACAAGUGAGGACGCAGAUUAUGUUUGUUUUCUGAACGCUCUGGUGUUUGGCUGCAAAGCCUGCCAGGCGGGAGAGAGUGGCUGACAGUGGCCUGGAGUGUGGGGGUGCUGUUGGAUGGUGGGAGAGAUCUAGGGAUGCGGAGUCAGAAGGUGACACGCUUUAGGUCGCAGCUCUGUGAGCUCAGGAGAGACAGCUACCUUCUCUAGCCCACUGGUAUCCUCAUAUGUAAACCGGAAAAUAUAAUACCUACCCCUCAAAGGAGGAGUCUGUGAAGAUCAAAUGUAAAGCUGUAAGAGCAUUUUGUAAACUAUACAUCUGUACAGCUCUAGACAGCAGUAUUUACUAUGGCUGGAGAUAGAGGGAGAGUUGAGUCUUAAUGAAUUUGUGAAGGCGGUCAGGAAUCCCAGGAGGCUUUCCUCUUCCCCCAUCAGCUCUUGACCCCUC